CAUCAGUAUUGAUAUCGGAUGGGGCAGGAUCAUGGGGAGGAGGCAGUGUGGUAGUAGCCCUAUGAUAGCAUCACCAUGAAUGAUUAGAUUGUCAUUUGCUGGCAGUAUAUGAGGAUCCGGCAUAUCCGGUUACACAUCUAAACUUUUUUUUUAGGGUUUAAUGGCUGAAUCAUUUAUUCUUAAAUUAAAUUUAUUAUCUACUAAUUUGACUGAUAAUUUUACAGAGACGAUGUGCCCAGCAUGCGGUG
rnacentral:lncRNA from 1 species